GUAAAAUAUUGGUAUCAAACACAGAAGUACCAUUUUCCAUCCCUUGAAAUGCUUUUCGUAAUUUCUAAAAAUUAGUUUGUUGAGAUGGUUUACUUUGGAAUAGGUCAAUAUCACCUGUCGAGAGCUCCAUAUCGAUACAUGAAAUGAAUUGCGAAAAUUGA
ensembl:ncRNA R11D1.14 ncRNA